UUCUUUGCUUGCCGGCAGGUGUCCCCAGGUCUUUCACCCGAUCCCGUGUCAUCUCUGAGCAGCUGGUCAUCAGAUGCUAGGCAGGAAAGCUCCCCCGCCCGACCGUGAUGCAGGGGACGGGGACAGUGGAAAUGCGGCAAACCGCAGGGGCGUCCGUGCGCGUGGCCGGACGGUCGGCGCUGCCGGGAUGUUCGAGGGCAACUACAGAAUGUUCUCAAAGCCCGAAAGCCACAGCCGCGCAACGGCGGGUCGUUUCGGGGGGCCUCAGCCUCCGCCGCUCUGCUUCUACCACAGCUGUUUCCUGGAAGGGCCGCAGUCUGAGAACACGGCCCCAGCACUCUGCCUGUGUCAUUAAUUUAGGAAAAGUUACAAUCACCAUACUCUCCACCCACCUCACUCUCAGCACAACCUCCCCACAUGGCUGGAUGUGGAUACUCACCUACCUUGGCAUCUGCUUCAAGAGAGGAGACAGGCGGGCCUGUUCUGGAGAGAAGGAAGUCAACUUUUCUUCACUUUGGAACAACUGACGCAUUUCUCUUUCCUUCCUGUCGGGCCAGUGCUGAAGCGGGGCAGCCUCUGCGCCCGCCCAGACAGCUUCUGUGGUUGCCCCCACAUCGCCAAGGACCUCGGGAGCGAGGCCACCCAAAGCCACACCCAGGGGCUCUUGUAGGCCAACAGUCCACAGUCUUCAGCUGGAGGACAGACGAAGCUGACAUUCCUGAAACUUUCACCCCUACCAGGGAAACCCCAAGACAGACUAGAGGCUUCAAAUAUUCAAACGUUUUCACAUUUGCAAGGGGUUUCACAUUGACCUCAAGUGUAAAUGACUGAUCACAUUGUGAAGAAUGGUUACAAAUGCAAGAAUAACAAGACUGGCAUAAGCUUUGGAGGGGGGAGGGUGCACCGCGGGGCGGGGGCAGGGGAUUUCACUGAGGUAUCCCACCCAUACAAAUAGAAUACGAUAAAAUCACAAGCGGGGGGAACACACCCCUAUCAAGAAACUACAACGGCACGUCGGAAGCCCCUUUGUCUGCCCUUCCAGUUACUACCUUCUCCUCAAAGAUAACUAUCUUCCUGAUCUCUAACACCACUGAGUCGCUUUCCUGUUUUUGCACUUUGUGUCAAUGAACGUAUAUAAUAUG